AAGUGAAUUUAAAAAAAAUCAAAACAGGCAAUGGUCAAAAUCCAAGGGAAAACAGGAACUCAGGAAUACAGGACACAGGGGAAAAACACUCAAAGGCUGAAC